UACGGAGGGUGCAAGCGUUAUCCGGAUUCACUGGGUUUAAAGGGUGCGUAGGCGGACAUGUAAGUCCGUGGUGAAGUCUCUAAGCUUAACUUGGAAACUGCCAUGGAUACUAUAUGUCUUGAAUGUUGUGGAGGUUAGCGGAAUAUGUCAUGUAGCGGUGAAAUGCAUAGAUAUGACAUAGAACACCAAUUGCGAAGGCAGCUGGCUACACAAAUAUUGACGCUGAGGCACGAAAGCGUGGGGAUCAAACAGG
rnacentral:rRNA from 1 species